rnacentral:rRNA from 1 species
AUUGAACGCUGGCGGCAUGCUUUACACAUGCAAGUCGAACGGUAACAGGCCUUCGGGUGCUGACGAGUGGCGAACGGGUGAGUAAUGCAUCGGAACGUGCCCAGAGGUGGGGGAUAACGCAGCGAAAGCUGUGCUAAUACCGCAUGUGAUCUGAGGAUGAAAGCGGGGGACCAGGCAGCAAUGUUUGGCCUCGCGCCUUUGGAGCGGCCGAUGUCAGAUAGGUAGUUGGUGGGGGAAAGGCCUACCAAGCCGACGAUCUGUAGCUGGUCUGAGGGGACGACCAGCCACACUGGGACUGAGACACGGCCCAGACUCCUACGGGAGGCAGCAGUGGGGAAUUUUGGACAAUGGGCGCAAGCCUGAUCCAGCAAUGCCGCGUGCGGGAAGAAGGCCUUCGGGUUGUAAACCGCUUUUGUACGGAACGAAAAGGCUCUGGCUAAUACCUGGGGCUGAUGACGGUACCGUAAGAAUAAGCACCGGCUAACUACGUG